GCCGCUGGCACGAACGGUACCGCGAUGUCCGAGUCGUUCUCCUCUUCCCCCCGUCGCAUCCUGCACGUCCCGCGCAGGCAGCCCGCGAGCAGCUGCUCGUUACAGUCCCGCCACCAGCAAGAUCAAGACCAGUUCAGUUCACGUCCCCCAGGAAGGACUCACCCAACCAUCCUGAUAAAUAAUGAAUUCAUGGAGGCAGGUGGAGUCACGUCAACCUUCCUGAUGAUGAAGCCGCCUGGAUCAAAGGUUACGACCUACAGGACGGACAAGCAGGUUCCAGACACAUUGGGGAAAUUCAAUUGCUCACAAGAAAAUAGUAUGAAGUUGCAAAACAAGAGAUUUUGUGCAUUUUACAAUUUAUUUACAUUACAUAUGUUACAUGUUACAGACGAAAAAUAAAUAAAAAUACUGUCGGUCUUCUUGUACAAAUCGUACAGUGACAUAUGAAACCAAAUUAUGUAAGUAGUGCCGUUAGUUUUAAGUUCCCUCUGUUAAAACGGUUUUUGCAAUUUUCCCUCUCAAAUUAUUUAGACAGUGCUCUGAGGAGAAGCUGGCGUUCGUUUGAUAAUUAAGUUCCCUCUGUUAAAAAGGUUUUCCAGCACUCUUUGCUCUGAAAUAAUUUAGAAAGUACUCCAGAGAAAAAGCAGAGGUUCGUGUGAUAAUUAUGUACAUGAAGCAGUAACACCCCGCUGCUCUGUGCUCGUUUGCACAUUCAUUUCCUUCACUCCCAGAGUUCAGUGUUGUUGCUGUACAUCGUGCGCCGUGAGCCCCGACAGGUCAAACUUCACUGUGAUCCUUUUCAUGCAUGUUUUUCCCUAGAAACUGUCAUUGGUCUAUAAUGCAGAAAUCAAUGAGCCCGAGUAACAGAACUGAAUCAACGCUGGACCUGGACGUUAGGAGGUGUGUUAGUGAUCUGCAUCCUGCAGCAGCUGCUGGGCUUUGGGUGGGAUGCGACGUGAACCAACAUGUCUUGGCCUAAUCAGCCUUCCUGUUUGUCCCAUCAGCCCUGAUGGAUGAUGUUUAUUGUCCUCAUGUGUUACCUCUCUCGCCGCUGAUUUGAACCACACAAUGAUUGUCAGAGGUCACACGACGCGAUUUCCCAGUUUUUAAGUUGGAGCCUCUGUUUUACUGUAGAAAACACUGACUGUGACAUCAGUGUGUCUUUAAUUGCUCUAUUUUUUGUAUUAAUUAUACCAACCAACGUGUUAAUCUCUUAACGGCACAUAGCUCUCAGCCUCACUGAUUACAUGUAACUGAGCAAUUCAUUUAAUUCAUCAGAUUCAUUGUUUUGCUUAGAGUGAAGGAGGCUCAACUGGAUUCACA
rnacentral:lncRNA from 1 species